rnacentral:lncRNA from 1 species
GCUUAUCCUUGGAUGUAAAGCACCUUUAGCUUUAUCCAGCAAGUGACAGCCUGUCUCUAAGCUCUUCCUUAUCCAUCUUAACGUAAACCAGUGUGGUAGAAGAUCAGUGUUACUUCUCCUAAGUUACCGUGGCAUGGUAACUUCCCUUUGGUGAGUUUGGUCGACCCUAAUGGUACGGUCAGUACGGCCAGUACGGCCUGUACGGCCUGUACGGCUUAGGUCGACCCAAACUCAUUCCUCUCCAACUCCUUACUCUUUCCCAACCUCAUCUAUUACUCUCAACACUUCUCAUCAUCCAAUGCCUUCAUAUUAACACUCCCCCUCAAGCUUAGCCACAAAGCUAAGCUUGGAUGGCUAUGAGAUCUUCCUCAUUAAAAACCUCACCAAGGAAAACCCAUUGGGACAAAACCUUGAUGAGGGAAAAAGAGUAAAGACCUCACAGCCAAGAGGAUCAGCUCCUUCUCUUCCCAAGAUCAAUGAGGCCCAACCUGAUGUGAAUGGACUCCAUUGUCUUCUGUCUCGCAGCCUUAGUGAACACAUCAGCCAACUGAUCUUCACUUCUUGUGUAGCAUGGCAGGAUGACUCCUAAGAUGAUCAUCUGCCUCACCUUGUGACAAUCCACUUCAAUGUGCUUGGUCCUCUAAUGGAACACCGAGUUGGAGGCAAUGUGGAUGGCAGCUUGGUUAUCACAAUGCAUUGUCAUUGGCGUGGCUUGAUCAAUCUCCAAAUGCUUCAAGAUACCUUUGAUCCACACCAGCUCGUUGGUAAGCUUCAGCAUAGCUCUAUACUCAGCCUCUGCACUUGAGCAAGACACCACCUUCUGCUUCUUACUCUUCCAAGUAACCAAGUUGCCUCCAAUGAAUGUGCAAUAGCCUGUGGUUGAUCUCCUGUCUGCUCUAUCACCAGCCCAAUCCGCAUCACAGUAUCCAACCACUUCAGUGCUCCCAUUGCAACCCAUCCAUACUCCUUGAUCAGGUGAGCCGUUGAGAUACAUCAAGAUCCUCUCCACCAUACGCCAAUGAUGUUCCUUAGGCACUUGCAUGUGUUGACUCACCUGAUUCACAGCAAAACAAAUGUCAGGUCUAGUUAUGGUAAGAUAAAUCAAUUUGCCAACUAGUUUUCUAUAGAGUUUAGGAUCCUGAUAAGGUUUGCUGUCUUCAAUCUCCCCCUCUCGUGGGACUUUGUAGCCAUCCUCCAUAGGCAUCCUUGCAGUCUUGCCUCCAUAAGCACCUGCACCUUUCAAAAGAUCAAGUGUAUACUGCCUUUGGGACAUGAACAAGCCUUCCUUGGAUCUACAUAUCUCAAUUCCAAGAAAGUAUUUCAUUUCUCCCAAGUCUUUAAUCUCAAACAUGGAUUUAAGGAACUCCUUGGUUGCAAUGAUACCUUCCUUAUCACUUCCUGUGAUAAUGAUAUCAUCAACAUACACAAGGAGCGCAAUCAUACCUGAGGGAGUAGUGAGUGUGAAAAGAGUGUGAUCUAGUUCAGACUUCUUGAAUCCUCGGCCAUUAAGGGUAGUGCUCAGCUUGUUGUACCAAGCUCUUGGUGAUUGCUUCAAUCCAUAGAUAGCUUUCUUUAGUCUCAACACAUUUCCUCUCUUCACUAAGUGUUCCAAGCCUGGAGGAGGAUGCAUAUACACUUCAUCCUCAAGUUCUCCUUGUAGAAAUGCAUUCUUCACAUCCAUUUGCCAUAAGCCCCAUCCAAGGUUCACAGCCAAGCUUAAUACAAUCCGGAUUGUGUGUAGUUUAGCUACUGGUGCAAAGGUUUCAAUGUAAUCUUCUCCAUAGGUUUGAGUGAAACCCCUUGCAACCAGUCUUGACUUCUUCCUCUCAACUGUUCCAUCAGCCUUAUACUUGAUUGUGAAGAUCCAUCUACUAGUCACAGCCUUCUUCCCUUUUGGUAACUCACUCUCAUACCAUGUAUCAUUCUUGAUCAUAGCUCCUGCCUCAGCUCCAACUGAUUCCUUCCAUUCUUUAUCCAUCAUUGCCUCUUCAUAGUUUCUUGGUAUGUAGUUCUCAUCCAAGUUUACCAUAAAAGCACAAUGUUCUUCAGGGUAUUGAGCAAAGGAACACACAGCCUGAGAAGGAUGCUCCACAGCUUGGGCAUUGUAGUACACUCGCGUGUUUACCCAAGAGGAAGGAUCCUUUCUCAGCCUUGUGCUUCUUCUCAAUACUGGUUGGUUCUGAACCUGCUCCUCUUGGACACUCGGUUCUGGUGCUUCAGCCUGAGCUUCUACUUCUCCUUGGCUUUGAUCACCUUGAUUGUGAGAGCCUGAAACACUCUCUUCUUCUUCUUCACUCAAGCCGGCUCCAUCCUGACCAUCUUCUUGAGUUUCAGAUUCCCUGCCCCCCUCACGAUCAAGGUGAGGUGACUGAUUAGCUUCAACAGGGGCCGGAGAACUCUCAUGUUGGUUCCUACUCCCCACAUUUGGAUCCUGGUUCAUCUUGAUACCUAGACCUUCCAAAAUCAGUCUUAAGGCGCCUGCCUUAUCUGAUGUUAGAUCCUUUAGCUCCUCUUGAUUCCUUUCUUCAUAGUAUCCUCUAGCUUCUAUGAACUUCACAUCUCUAGAGAUUAGGACUCUUCUAGUAUCUGGAUCAUAGCACUUGUAUCCCUUUUGUGUUGUUGAAUAGCCAAUGAACAUAGCCUUAGUGCUCCUUGCAUCUAGCUUGUUUCUUAACUCUCCUGGUACCAACACAAAGCAUAAACAUCCAAAUACUCUCAAGUAAUCCACUGAUGGCUUGUGCUUGUUUAGAACUUCAAAUGGUGCUUGAUCCUUCAACACCUUUGUGGGAAUCCUGUUGAUCAAGUAACAAGCAGUAGCCACAGCAUCACUCCAAAACCUCUUUGGAACAUUUGCUUGGAACAUCAUUGACCUAGCAACCUCCAUCAAGUGUCGGUUCUUCCUCUCAGCUACCCCAUUCUGUUGUGGAGUAUAGGGACAGCUUGUUUGAUGCAAGAUCCCAUGAUGCUCUAGAUGACUCUUGAACGCAUAGCUUGUGUACUCUCCUCCAUUAUCUGAUCUAAAAAUUUUAAUCUUGGCAUUAUAAUGGUUAGUCACAUAAGCUUGAAAGUUCUUAAAUGCAUCUAUUACUCUAUCUUUUGAUGGGAUUAAAGUUAACCAGGUGUAUUUGGAUUUUUCAUCAAUGAAUGUGACAAAGUACUUAUGAUUGUCUCUAGAUAUGCAAGGUGCAGUCCACACAUCAGAAUGAAUAAGAUCAAAGCACUUAUCAUAAACACUAGUAGAGUUUGGAAAUACAGUUUUACAAUGCUUGCCUAAAAUGCAUGCUUCACAAUCCUUAUUCUCAAAUAAAACACCUGGUAACAUCAAGUUCAAAGCUCUACCAUGAGGAUGUCCUAAUCUAGCAUGCCACAAAGCAUUUUUAUUUAAACUAGAAGCAGUAGUAAACUAGCAAUUGUAAUUGGAAACAGGAUCAAGUUCUUCAAGCAAAUACAACUCUCCUUUAGUGAUUCCUUUUCCAAUCAAGUGGUUGCUCUCAAUAUCCUGAAACUUUACAUCAUUAGGUCUGAAUAUAACAUUGCAAUUCAAAUCAGUAGUGCAUUUCUUAACAGAUAGCAAGUUAGAUGUAAAUUCAGGCAUAUAGAAAGCUCUAGUGUUUUUAUCAAACAACUUCAAGUUUCCUAUUCCUCUAAUAGGGAUCUUGUCCCCAUUUGCAAUCAUAACAUGUCCACUAGUUGGUUCUAUAUCCUUAAUCAGAUUUGUAUCACUAAUCAUGUGAUGAGAUGCACCAGAAUCAACAAUUAAUGGCUUAGUUAUACUGCUAGCAUUAUGACAAAGGUUCAAAGGUGAUCUAAAUGCAUUUAGUUCAUGAUUCAUCCUAGCAUUUCUAGCAAAGGUGUACUCAUGUCCCCACUGUAGCUUGGAUUCAAUGUAAGCAACAACCCAAAGACCUUAUCUUGCUCUCUCCUUUCAUUUAGCAGCUCUGGAUCAGUUGUGCUCGGCCUCAGCAUCUCCAGCUCUGACCAGAGUGUCCGGAACCUCCCCAAAUGCUUAGUGAACUCCAUGUCCUCCUGAGUUAGAUCAUUCAAAGCUUUCUUCACUUCAAAGACCCGGCUGAGGUUAGAGGUGUUUCCAUACACCUUCUUCAAUGUUUCCCACAGCUCCUUGGCUGUCUCACAAUAGCUGUAAGCAUCUAGAAUGGCUGGCUCCAACGAGCUAUGAAGAGCAGACAUCACCAUCAUGUCCUCUUGUUGCCACUUCUCAGCUUCAGCUUCCGAGACACUCUCCUUGUCUCCUCCUUGAGUAAUGAGCUUUGGAGCCUCACCAGAUGUGAUGUGCUUCCAUAAACCCUUACUUCCCACAGCAGUCUUCACCAUCCUAGACCAUACUAGGUAGUUACUUCCUUUGAAAGUCACAGCAACCUUCAUCUUGGAACCACUCUCCAUCUUAAGCAGUUUCACUUCAAUAACUUGUAAAAGACUUGAUCUUGAGACUCAGAACUACAACACCAGCUCAAACCCUUCCGUGCCUUGUCUUUACUCUUCAAAGAACCCUCAAAAAGCUUGAUAAGACUGCCGGAAUGAAGAUGUAGCUCCCGGGAUGCAGCUUCUUCCAAGAACACUCACACCACUCUCACUUGAUCUCUCAAAGUUUCAAGUUUGAAUCUUCAAGAGAAAAACGCCAAGAACUCAGAUUGAAAUCAACCUGGCUCUGAUACCAUAUCACUUUUGAGUAAUGUAAAAGAUAAUCUGAGCUUAGAUAAGAAUAGAGAAGAGAUUAGAGUAGGUUUAAGAGAUUAAGAGACUAAUGGAGAAUCAUUGUGAAAAGUAUAGAGAGAUUAAUUUGUUUAGAACUGUCUAAUCUUUAUUAAUGAUGAGAGACUACAAUAUAUAGUGAUGCUACAAGAGGCAUAAGGGUUUUCGAAAUCACACUAUUGCAAUGGAUAGGAUUCUACUUUAAUUCAAACUGUCCAAUUAGCUUAUCCUUGGAGUAAAGCACCUUUAGCUUUAUCCAGCAAGUGACAGCCUGUCUCUAAGCUCUUCCUUAUCCAUCUCAACGUAAACCAGUGUGGUAGAAGAUCAGAGUUACUUCUCCUAAGUUACCUUGGUGUGGUAACUUCCCUUUGGUGAGUUUGAUCGACCCUAAUGGUACGGCCAGUACGGCCUGUACGGCCUGUACGGCCUGUACGGCUUAGGUCGACCCAAACUCAUUCCUCUCCAACUCCUUACUCUUUCUCAACCUCAUCUAUUACUCUCAACACUUCUCAUCAUCCAAUGCCUUCAUAUUAAC